AGUAGAUAUGUGUGUGUGUGUGUGUGUGUGUGUGUGUACACACACACACACACACACACACACAUAUACAGACAUACAUACAUACA